rnacentral:rRNA from 1 species
GUGAAUCAUCGAAUCUUUGAACGCACCUUGCGCUCCUUGGUAUUCCUUGGAGCAUGCCUGUUUGAGUAUCAUGAAAUUCUCAAAACACACCCUUUGUUGAUUCAAUCGGUUCUGUUUUGGACUUGGAGGCUUUUGCGGACUCACAUCUGCUCCUCUCAAAAAUAUUAGCUGGAUCUCAGUGAGCUCGGUUCCACUCGGCGUGAUAAGUAUCACUCGCUGAGGACACCCGUAGAAAAGGUGGCCGGGAUCGCAGAUGAACUGCUUCCAAUGGUCUAUUAAAUUGGACAACAUACUUUAUGAUCUGAUCUCAAAUCAGGUAGGACUACCCGCUGAACUUAAGCAUAUCAAUAAGCGGAGGAAAAGA